rnacentral:siRNA from 1 species
GGAGAAAUCUGCGUGAUAUAUGGG